rnacentral:rRNA from 1 species
AUGUUAGCGGCGGACGGGUGAGUAACACGUGGGUAACCUGCCUGUAAGACUGGGAUAACUCCGGGAAACCGGGGCUAAUACCGGAUGGUUGUUUGAACCGCAUGGUUCAGACAUAAAAGGUGGCUUCGGCUACCACUUACAGAUGGACCCGCGGCGCAUUAGCUAGUUGGUGAGGUAACGGCUCACCAAGGCGACGAUGCGUAGCCGACCUGAGAGGGUGAUCGGCCACACUGGGACUGAGACACGGCCCAGACUCCUACGGGAGGCAGCAGUAGGGAAUCUUCCGCAAUGGACGAAAGUCUGACGGAGCAACGCCGCGUGAGUGAUGAAGGUUUUCGGAUCGUAAAGCUCUGUUGUUAGGGAAGAACAAGUGCCGUUCAAAUAGGGCGGCACCUUGACGGUACCUAACCGGAAGGCCA